CAUCCCCAACUUUUUCUUUUCAUCUUGUUGCUUUUAACAAGACCCGGAAAAAAGACUUCAUCAAUCAAUUUCUACAUCUAUAUCUUCCUCUCCCUGGUCAACAAGGUCAGUUUUUUGCCCUGCCUUGUCCACAACUUCGGUUUCUACCUUUCCAUUGCCAUCAACUACAGUUUCGUUUCCUCCCUUGUCCGAAACUUCAGUUCCUUGCACUCCCUCACCAUUGUCAACAGCUUCAUUUUCUUCUACCCCCUUUUCGACAACUUCGCUUUUUUGCUCUCCCAAGUCGACAACUCCAGUUUCUUGUUCUUCUUUUUCAGUAACUCUACUUUCUUGCUCUGGCACAUUCGCCAAUUGUUCUUCUCCUUCAAUUUUAUUGAUGGAUUUUUCAUCUUCUUGGUUCCCAUUAUCUUGUGUCUUUUGGCUUACCAGUUCUUCGUUUCCACAAUCGAGUUGGUUCUCUCCCUCUUCUCUGUGAGGACUAAGUGUUUGUCCUUCACUUUUGUCAAGGGAAAGUUCUUUUCCUACUCCGACAACUUCAGUUUCUUGCUCUCCUGUAUCAUCAUCUCUACUACUUUCUUGCUCUAGCACAUUCUCCAAUUGUUCUUCUCUCUCGCUUUGAUUGAUUUUUUCAUCUCUUUGGUUCUCAUAAUCUUGUGCCUUUUCGCUUACCGAUUCUUCAUUACCGCUAGCACGUGGGUCCUCUCUCUCUUUUCUGUGAGGACUGAGUGUACGCCCUUCACUUCGGUCAAGGGGAUGUACUUCUUCCACUCCCAUAUCAACAACUUCAUUUUCUUGCUUUCUCAUAUCGACAACUUCAGUUUCUUGCUCUUCCUUGUCACCAACUCCACUUUCUUGCUCUGGCAUAUUCUCCAGUUGUCGUUCUAUUUCAUUUGGG